UAUAAAAUAAUAUAAUUGAAAAUUUUAAUUUAUAAAAAAAAUGUUAUACUUUAUUUUUAUGAUUUAUAUAUUUAAAAUUUUGUUUAAAUUUUUAUUAAAAUAAUUUUUGAAAUUUUUUAUAAAUUUAAAUAAUAAUAAAAUUAGUAUAUAAAUUAAAUUAAAAAAUUAAAUUUAAUUUUAAUUAAAUUUGAAUAAUUUGGCAAAAUUAUUUUAAUUAAUAUUUUAUUCACCUGUUUAUCAAAAACAUGGUUUUUUGUAAAAAAUAAAAAAUUUAACCUGCUCAAUGAUUAUUUAAAUAGCUGCAGUAUAUUGACUGUACAAAGGUAGCAUAAUCAAUAGUUUUUUAAUUAAAAGCUGGAAUGAAAGGUUUGAUGAAAUAAAAUCUUUUUUAAAUUUAAAAAUAAAAUUUUUUUAUUAGUAAAAAAGCUAAUAUAAUUUUAAAAGACGAGAAGACCCUAUAGAAUUUUAUAAAUAUUUAAUUAAAUUUAAUUUAAAAUAAUAAUUUUAUUUAAAAAUUAUUUGGUUGGGGUGAUUAUUAAAAGUUAAAAAACUUUAAAAUUAAUUAAAACAAUAAUUAUUGAAAAUUUGAUCUUAAAUUUUAAAUUAUAAGAAUAAAUUACCUUAGGGAUAACAGAGUAAUUUUUUUGGAAAGUUCAUAUUGAUAAAAAAGAUUGCUACCUCGAUGUUGAAUUAAGAUAAAAUUUAAAAGUAGAAAUUUAAAAUUUUUGGUCUGUUCGACCAUUAAAAUCUUACAUGAUUUGAGUUCAGAUCGGUGUGAGCCAGAUCGGUUUCUAUCUUUAAGAAAAAUUAAAAUUAUUGUACGAAAGGACUUAGUUUUAUAAAUAAUUUAUUAUUAAGGAAUAAAUUU
rnacentral:rRNA from 1 species